UGCCAGCCGCCGCGGUAAUACGGAGGGUGCGAGCGUUAAUCGGAAUCACUGGGCGUAAAGCGUACGUAGGCGGCGUAUCAAGUCAGGCGUGGAAGCCCUCGGCUCAACCGAGGAAUUGCGUUUGAAACUGGUAUGCUAGAGUCUCGGAGAGGUUGGCGGAAUUCCAGGUGUAGGAGUGAAAUCCGUAGAUAUCUGGAGGAACACCAGUGGCGAAGGCGGCUCACUGGCUCGAUACUGACGCUGAGGUGCGAAAGCGUGGGUAGCAAACAGGAUUAGAUA
rnacentral:rRNA from 1 species